GCCCCGCCCCCUGCGUCUCAUUGGUAAAGACGCAACACGUCCUUCGAGACGCAGGAGCGCGUACGUCGCGAUGACGUCACCUGCGCGCCCUCAUGUCUGGCCAAAAGGAACUUGCACCAUCUAGAUCAAAAUAGCGGCUUUUAUUUCACAUUCCUCAAUACACAGUUCAUCGAAGUAUCCUCAAGAUCUGCAUGUGGAGUAUAGAUACCAAGUGUAAUCAAGGACAACUCCCAGGUUCUUAGUCCAAGAACUGGAAGGUCGAAGCUGAUAUUUACUGAAAUGGAGAACUCUGCAAUAGCAGGUUUGGGAGCAAGGAAGCCUUGGAAUUCAGUUCUGGGUAUAUGAAUUUGAGUUGUUAUAUCAGGCUCUUUAGAGUAAGUUUGUUGCAGUAAACAACUCCAAAAAUCUUAGUGCCUUAAAACAAAAAAGUUUAUUUCUUGCUCACCUGUGUGUCUGCUGCAUGUUGACUCUAGCUGUGUUGACUUCAUCCCAUGACCCAGGCUGAAGGAGCAGAGAUGGUUCUGAUUUUAGAACAGAGGGAAGAAAGAGCACAGUGGAGCCACAUCAUGGCCCUUAAGGCUUCUUCUCAGGCUGGCACAAGUCACUUCUACUCAUAUGUCAUUGGUCAAAGUAAGUCACGUGGCCAACUCUGACAUCAAGGUUAAGUAUAAUCCUAGGACUGUAAAAAGCAGAAGGCAAAAAAUAUUUCAAAUAAUAAUACAGUACACUGCAGAUGCCUAUUUGACAUUUAAGUGGCAAUGUCACUAGGUAGUUGGAUGUCUGAAUCUGAAGGUCAGGAGAGAAAUCCAGGCUGCAUAUAUGAAUUUUAGAAUCUUUAGCAUGUAAUAUUUACAUUCCUGAAGUUAGAAGAGAUCACCAAAGGAGUAAGUAUAAGUAGAGAAAAGUUCAGAGGACUGAGCCAGGGGCACUCUGGCAAUUUAGAAAUCAGAAAAGUGAGAAAUAAUCAACCAUGACUGAAAAAGAGUGGCCCUGGAGUAAGUGGUGUGCUGGAGGUAAAGCAAAGAUGAUCUCGGGUAAGAGGGGGUGAUGAGCUCUGUCAAAGCCUGCUGGUAGGAUACAAAGAGGACUGGCAGUUGAGUGCAAGUUGUUGUAAAGCUGAGAAAAGCAGUUUUACUGCUGGGGUUGGGGAAGAAGCCUCAUUCUAGUGGGUUUAAGAGAGAAUGGUAGUAAAUGAAGUAAAGGGAGCAAAUGUGAACAGACCAAACAGAGUAUUCACAGGAAGAAAAAAGAAGGUACUGAAAGAAUGCCAAAGACACAGCUACACUGGUAAAGAUCAGAGAAGCAGAGAUGCUGGAGUUCUGAGUACAGGAGCAGAGUGGCUGUUGCCAACUCAAAUACACAUCAUUUAAGUGCGUCUACUCAGGUGUCUCCAUUCCUCACCAUCUGAGGAAGCUACAUCAACCCACCACCCUUUCCCGAUCAAUUAACUCCACCUUUAUUACAUUUAAAAGUUUCUUUCCUUGUACAUCUUCUCUAAACCCCUGGUCUUGGAGUGCCCCAGAUUUUACUCCUUGCUCUUCUCUAUCUGCAUUCACUUCCUUGAUCUUAUCCAGUCUCAAAGCUUGAAACAUCUAUAUGCCAUGACUCCCACAUUUCUAACUUUAUUCAUCCUUUUCUUCAAAUCACAAUCCAACUGCAUACUUGGUAUUUCCAUUUGGGUGUCCAGUAGAUUGAACUGCUGCUGAUAACCCUACUACAAACCUCUUAUUCACAGACCUCUGACCUCGGCUGAUGGCAUUCUGAUCCUUCCACUUCUAGAUUCUGUGACUCCUCUGCUCAAAACCUCCAAUCCCAUAGGCAGAAUGAUUAAGAAACUUGCCCAGUGUCAUCCCAUUAAUCAAUGACAGAGUGCUUUCCUGAAAGCCACGUCUUCAAACAAAUUGUUGAAAGCAAUUCUUACUUUAUCAGGAACAAGGUUACACUUGGACUUUGUAUUUUUGAUAAAGAAUUCAGCAUAAACAAAGUUUGAUAUAACCAACACCCUAAUCAGUAGUACUAACUUACCUUUGUCUGGCAUUUUAUAAUUUUCUAAAGCACUUUCUUGUAUGUACAUUAAUUUGAUUCUCUGACAAUGCAGAGAGGUAGAUAUUAUUGUCCCUAGUUUAGAAGUGGAUAAAAUGGGACCCAGGAAGAUGAACCAACCUACUCAGGAUCAAUUUAAUUGGUGGUUGAUAGAGGGGGCUAUCCUCCACCCCUUCAGUAGGACCAGAGGUACUUUCUGUUGCCCCCAAUGGACAGAAGACAGCUACUAUGUAAAUUAGCACACCCCACCAUCUUGAAGUUAGUGUCAAUUUUUAGUCAGAUCCACACUUGCAUUUCUUUAUAACUUCAAGGCCAAAUAACUCAUCUACACCAUUCAUUCCUGUUCUUAUUACUUACCCUCAAACUCUUUACUCGUACAUAAAUUGCCUAUGCUUCUUUCCCCCAGCUUCUUUCCACCGCUGACCUCUUUGAAACUCUUUCCACUGCAGAAGCCACAGUUUCAUCAUAAGCACUCUCUACAGCCUCAACAUCCUCACAGAGCCAUACCUUCACUUUCUUGCCUCAAGUGAAACCUGGCUUUUCCCCCAAAGACAUCACUUCCCUUGAGCCCUGACAAACAAAAACUGCUUUUUCCCCUGCCUUUCAACAUGCUGAGAGGUAUGUGGAUGCAGUGUUGAUAUUCUCCUAGCUUCUAGCUGCCAGUUCCAGGUGAUUCCAUUCUUACCUGUAUGAAACUCCCCACUUUAUGCCCCCUUUUGAGUCUCAUGCUGUAGCAUGAAGUGUAAUCAUCAUCAUCCACCAGCUCAAGGUCACUCCCCCAGAUUCACUGAAAGCUUCAGCACCUGGCCCACACAAAUGCUGCCAGACUCUCACUGUAAUCUCAGACAGCCUUCAUGCCCGUGAUUCACAGCUCCUCAAGCACCUGGAUUCCAUUGCCCUUUGCCUCCAUUCCUCUUUAACACAACUCAUUCCUGUGGCAAAAUCCUAACUUUAUGUUUACUCACAUGCUCUGAAAACCAGAACUCUAGUGACCCUUCACACCUCUGCAACUUUGACACUUUCCUGACUUCUUAGUAAUUUCUGUUCUUGAUCUUUCUUCAAUUCUUUGAGUUGCCCUCCCAUCUUCACUUUCAUCCUUGCCCAGCAUAGACCCCAAAGGCCCAUAAGUUCUCCGACUGUGGCUUCUGGGUACCCACCGUGCCCUCCCUCCAUCUUUGCUAUACUCCCAACCAGCUCGCUCUCUUCUCUGGUUAUCUGAGUGAUUAAAGGCAUGGGCUGGGGAAGCCUGUUUCUAUCAUUUGAAGACUUUUUCCACCAUGUAAUAAUUCUACCUUGGACAAGUCAUUAAUUUUUCAGGGCUUCCAUUUCCUCAAUUGGGAAAUAGUAGUAUCUUACCUCCUGACCAUCAUAAAUUAUUGUGAAUAUUAAUUGAGAAUAUAUGUAACAUGCUUAGAAUAGUACCUAUCUCAUAAGUACUCAAUAAAUGUUUAAUAAACUGC